rnacentral:rRNA from 1 species
GUGGGGAAUAUUGGACAAUGGGCGAAAGCCUGAUCCAGCCACGCCGCGUGUGUGAUGAAGGCCUUCGGGUCGUAAAGCACUGUGGAGAGGGAAGAAGCAAGUGACGGUACCUCUUUAGCAAGCACCGGCUAACUCCGUGCCAGCAGCCGCGGUAAUACGGAGGGUGCUAACGUUGCUCGGAAUUAUUGGGCGUAAAGCGCACGUAGGCGGCCCAGUGUGUCGGAUGUGAAAGCCCUCGGCUUAACCGAGGAAGUGCAUUCGAAACUACUGGGCUUGAGUACGGGAGAGGGUAGCGGAAUUCCCGGUGUAGAGGUGAAAUUCGUAGAUAUCGGGAGGAACACCAGUGGCGAAGGCGGCUACCUGGACCGAUACUGACGCUCAGGUGCGAAAGCGUGGGGAGCAAACAGGAUUAGAUACCCCAGUAGUCC